GAUGAACGCUGGCGGCGUGCCUAAUACAUGCAAGUCGAGCGAACAGACGAGGAGCUUGCUCCUCUGACGUUAGCGGCGGACGGGUGAGUAACACGUGGAUAACCUACCUAUAAGACUGGGAUAACUUCGGGAAACCGGAGCUAAUACCGGAGAAUAUAUUGAACCGCAUGGUUCAAUAGUGAAAGACGGUUUUGCUGUCACGUAUAGAUGGAUCCGCGCCGCAUUAGCUAGUUGGUAAGUUAACGGCUUACCAAGGCAACGAUGCGUAGCCGACCUGAGAGGGUGAUCGGCCACACUGGAACUGAGACACGGUCCAGACUCCUACGGGAGGCAGCAGUAGGGAAUCUUCCGCAAUGGGCGAAAGCCUGACGGAGCAACGCCGCGUGAGUGAUGAAGGUCUUCGGAUCGUAAAACUCUGUUAUUAGGGAAGAACAAAUGUGUAAGUAACUAUGCACGUCUUGACGGUACCUAAUCAGAAAGCCACGGCUAACUACGUG
rnacentral:rRNA from 1 species